AGAAAAUCUAAUGACAUGGCCUCCUUGUUCACCUGAUCUGAACCCCAUUGAGAACCUGUGGUCCAUCAUCAAAUGUGAGAUUUACAAGGAGGGAAAACAGUACACCUCUCUGAACAGUGUCUGGGAGGCUGUGGAUGCUGCUGCACGCAAUGUUGAUGGUGAACAGAUCAAAACACUGACAGAAUCCAUGGAUGGCAGGCUUUUGAG